rnacentral:lncRNA from 1 species
GGCACGCCUGCGGAGGCCCACACACCCUGAAGGCGGAGCCCCUGGUCGAGUGGCUGGCUCCCGGACCACCCAGCAGUCUGGAAGGAGCCCCUGUGUAGCUGGUACUGCCCUAGGAGACCGUAUACAUACUGAUAGCCUAAUGAUUGAAGGAGAAAUUCGGGAAAGGGAUCGCGUAUCCAGGAGGUAGAGCCUGUCUGCCAGGCAGUGGGGACCUCAAGAUCUGGAAUGUGGGUGGAUGCCCAGUGUGUACAGGAGGCUCCAGGAGGGAGUCAGAGCACUGGAAGACAGGAACAGAAGGAUCAGAAAUUCAAGUCCAGCUUUGGAUAGAUGGCGCCAAGGCUAGCCUGGGCUACAUGAGAUCCUGUGUAAACUGCCCUCCCCCCCCCAAUAAAUGAAAUAAAACGAGUCAGCAGC